rnacentral:lncRNA from 1 species
GAUUAUUAUUGUAUGUUUUCUAUAAAAUAUUCUUGAAAUUCAGAAUAAUUCUUUCAAUUACCAAGAUUUUUUACAACCAUGAUAUUUUUUAAAAAAAAUGUAAAGCUUGCUUCAACUUGUGAAUAAAUUUAAAAGAAGAAAUAUUUUCUUGCAUUUAUGCAUAAAAUUUCAAAAUCAAAUGAUGAUGUGUGAACAUAAUGUGAUCAUCAUCAUUGGAGAUUAUAAUUAUUUUUCUCCCGUUGCAACGCACGGGCCCUUGCUAAAAUACAU